rnacentral:rRNA from 1 species
ACCUGUUCCCAUUCCGAACACAGAAGUUAAGCUCACUUGUGCCGAAGAUAGUUGGCUGGACACGGCCUGUGAAAAUAGGUAGAUGCCGGCG